AUGGUGUUCUUGGCGCUGCUCGUGGGGGCAGAGCUCGACGGCCUCACCAACCUGCAGCCCCGCGGCGGCUGCGACGACCCCAGCUACCCUUACUACUUCAAGUGCAAGUUAUGUUCGAGGGAGGGAUCAGUUGUGAUGAUUCCUGGGCAGGGAACACCACUGACUGCUGAGCAGAGCCAGAAAGGAGAGAUGACUUGUUUGAUGGUCUUUGAAUGCAGAGGCUAUGAACCUAUUGAGUUCGCUUUUGGUAAUGGCUGGAAGGCUGAAUCUGUACAUGGGACACCAUUUGACAUUGAUCUUUCUGAAGGAGAGUUUGAUGAGUAUGAUGAGAAAGGGAGAGUGCCCUGUCGCUCUAUCCAAGCUGCAGUCAACAUUCAAAGUGGUAUAGAAACACUCAUUUGCUAA
rnacentral:rRNA from 1 species